GACAGCGGCUUUGUCACGUUGAAUACACCAGUUCUCGUUGGAUCACUGAAGUUAAGCAACAUCGAGCGUGGAUAGUACUUGGAUGGGUGACCCAUCUGGGUACUAGUACUCCAUGUACUGCUGGCU
rfam:Asian citrus Psyllid, Diaphorina citri - Florida Strain, whole genome shotgun sequence.